rnacentral:lncRNA from 1 species
AGGUUUCCAGGAUAGUGUUACUGUGCUCUUAUAAGAAGGAGGAAUGUGGAAGAGAUCCUGCAGAGACAGAAAUCAGAUAACUUACAGAUUCUUGAAAAGAACAUUUUCUCAUCUGCAUGCAGAGACAUGAUCUCAUCGCCCAGACAGGAGUGCGGAGGCAUGACUGCAGCUGACCGUAACCUCGAGCUCCUGGGCUCAAGUGAGCCUCCCAUCUCAGUGUUGCAAGUAGCUGGGACUACUGGUGUGUUACCAC